rnacentral:rRNA from 1 species
GAUGAACGCUGGCGGCGUGCUUAACACAUGCAAGUCGAACGGUGAAGGCGGAGCUUGCUCUGCUGGAUCAGUGGCGAACGGGUGAGUAACACGUGAGCAAUCUGCCCCUGACUCUGGGAUAGCGCUGGAAACGGCGGCUAAUACUGGAUACGAGCUGCGAAGGCAUCUUCAGCAGCUGGAAAGAACUUCGGUCAGGGAUGAGCUCGCGGCCUAUCAGCUUGUUGGUGAGGUAACGGCUCACCAAGGCGUCGACGGGUAGCCGGCCUGAGAGGGUGACCGGCCACACUGGGACUGAGACACGGCCCAGACUCCUACGGGAGGCAGCAGUGGGGAAUAUUGCACAAUGGGCGAAAGCCUGAUGCAGCAACGCCGCGUGAGGGACGACGGCCUUCGGGUUGUAAACCUCUUUUAGCAGGGAAGAAGCGAAAGUGACGGUACCUGCAGAAAAAGCGCCGGCUAACUACGUG